rnacentral:SRP_RNA from 1 species
GCUGGGCGUGGUGGCGUGCACCUGUAAUUCUAGCUACUUGGGAGGCUGAGGCAGGAGAAUUGCUUGAACCUGGGAGGCAGAGGUAGCAGUGAGAGGAGAUAGUGCCAUUGCACUCCAGCUUGGGCAACGAGAGUGAAACCUUUUUUUUUUUUUUUUUUGUAGACAGAGUCUCGCUCUGUCACCCAGGCUGGAGUGCAGUGGCGUGAUCUCGGCUCAGUGCAAGCUCUGCCUCCCGGGUUCACGCCAUUCUCCUGCCUCAG